AAUGAAGUAUAGAGGGGACUUAUAAUAAAUUAAAAAAGAGGUUAAUUGCAUAUAGGUCUCUGUAAAUAUAAUGAAUUGCAAAUAUAUUUUUAUAAAAUUCAACUUUUAUAUGUUGUCCCUACAAAAGUUCUAAUAUUUUCAAAUAUGUUCCUGGCAUUAGAAUUCGUUAGAAAAUUUUAAUUAACCAUAGAUUAAAUAUUUAACCAUGGUUAGUUUAUGAAAUAACUUAACAUUUUUACCCCUCUUAUAUUAUACUGUUGUUGCUUUUGGAGAAAUAUAUUUGUGAUGACAAAAUUAAAAAUAUAAACAGUUUUCUAAUGAUAACAAAUCAGAGGGACAUAUUUGAAAAUAUUAAAACUUUUGUAGAAACAACAUAUAAAAAUUAAAUUUUAUAGAAAUAUAUUCGUAAUUACUAUGUUUGUANAAAAAAAAGAAGGGAAAAGGUGAAGGGCUUAGGACGUAAUGCUAAUAAGUGGGUCUUGAACUGUACUAUCUUAAAUUAUCUCAUUUUUUGUUAAAUGAUGAUUGCAAUGCAUGUGUUGUUUAAACAAUGAAUGACAUAGCAUUUCUUUUCUGUUAAAUAAUGAUUGCAUGCAUGUUAAGGUAGUAGUUUACACUCACUUUGUGUGCUGGUUUUUUUUUUCUUUUUUUUCCCUUUUGAUUAGAAAGAAUUAGCUUAGUAGCUAGUUACAAAACUCUUUCAGAGAAUAUCUCUAAAAAUAAAAAAAGAUACAUUCCUUAACAGCUCCAUCAGGAAGAUUAAUUACUAUAGUUCAAAAAUAAACUUACACUCUUUUCAUGUCUUUCCAAGUUAGCUUGGCUAUCGACCACCUUGUCAGUAUAGAAAUUUGAUGAAGAUAUAACUUUUUGAUUAGAUAAUUUUGACAAUUUUAUGGUUUUGUAAAAAGUAAAAAAAAAAAAGAAUUUGAUUGAAUUAAUGCUAACAUGGAAGCGAAAGGAUAUGAGAGGAGAGGCAUCUUUAAUUGCAAGGACGAAGCAAAGCUGUCUCUCAAUAUGUAAAAGAGAUCUCUGUGGGGCUAGAGUAUGAUAUGCUAAGUUAUCUUAAUUGAGAAGCAAUUUAGAGUCACACUAGUAUAUUUUUGGAAGUACGGAGCUCUCCGUACUUUCAAAUCAUUUUCGAUGUUGAGAUUUUUGAAUCGAUGAUUGACUCCGUUAUAUUUGAUCUAGAAUAUUUGAAAUAUCUAGAAAAUAAAUUUCGCAAUUUUGUCAAUAUAAAAUUAACGGCUGAAAAUAAAAAUAUUAUAAAAUGUGAUGAUAUAAAACUAAAAUUCUAGAUCCAAGAUAUUGAUCUCAUUUUAUAUAGUAUAAAAAAAUUUUCAGCAAAAUUUUAUAUGAUUUGAAUAUUUCUACACUGUUAAACUCGCAAAUGACUCACCACGAUCAUUAAAAUUAUUAAUUUUGAACCCAUUCGAUCACUAAAUAAAUGAUAUUGAAAAAUUCAUAAAAUUUAUUUUCUAGGUAUUUCAAAUACUAUAUAUAGACAAGUCUAGCGAAGCCGAUCGUCAAUUCAAAAGUUUUAAUAUUGAAAACGAUUUGGAGGCACGAAGGACUCCGUGUUACUAAAAACAUAUCAGCCUAACUCAGCAAUUUAUUGGACUUCAUAUUUGUCCUCAAAAUGAACUUAUUUUAUUGUGUAGGAUCUAUUUUGAUCUUUUUCUUGUUACAAGCAAUUUACACCUUCGAACACUACAUAAAUCAUUCAAUAGCUCUAGGGCAUUUUGGCUCUCUUAUAGGUAGGUAAUCGUGUUGUUCCACGAAGUGUUGUCGGAGUAAUACUUUUAAGAGAUUGUUUGGUUCAAAGAUUGUAAUACUUUAAAAAUAUUGUAAAUUUUACAUUAGCUAGAAUGACAAAUUUGUUGCUAACUUAUCAUGCCGCUUAGGUUGAAAGAUUGUUUUGAGCUUGCAUAUUUUAAGUAAUGAAUAAUUAAUGAUUAUUAUAAAAUGAGAAUAUAUCUUAACUCAUGCAGUAAUCUAGUAUUCCAACUUGUUGGGAAUUUACAGUGAUUUCACUAUUUUUCUGACAUAUUUCACAACUAUUAAGCUACAAAUGAAUGGUAAUUAUUUAAAUAUUUUUAAUAAAAUAUAAAAAAAUAUAUUAUAAAUUAUGAACCAAACAGGAUCUAAAAAUAAUCUUAUCUUAAAAUCUUAUCAACGGAUUAUCUCUGCAGCAAAAAUAGGACAAUUAAAUUGUAACUCUUAUUUUUAGUCUUUUAACUUGUCACUUCUCAUUCUCUCCGUAUAUCGUAACAACAGUAAAAAAAAGUUUUUUAAUUGACCAAAACUCUAGUAUAAAUAACUGUUUGUUUAAAGCAUGCAGUUUUAGAAGCGAAACUAAACACGCACAUAAUUUGUCGAUACCAAGAGAACACAUAACGUGUAAGUUUGAUCCAACGUUAACAUCAUGCGAGAGAACCCCCCCUUCUCCCUUAGCUGUGGUUGAGACGUAUCUUUCAUGGACUCGAACACUUUUUAAAGUUAAUGCUUCUCAUAAAAACAAACUCUCUUCUAUGAUUACGUAGUAUUUGUAGACCCCCAUUAUUUGUGCGCAUUUAACCACCAAUUAAUUAAAAAAGGAGUAGGCAAUCAGAUUAGGCAUAAUGAUUCGAAUUACACAUCACGCGGAUAUAGAUUGCGCGAAAAGAAGAGAAAGAAAAAAUAUAUAAUUUAAUACAUGUUCUAUUAGAUGUUUAUAUGUGAAUUAAUAAUCACAUAUCGGACAAUGAAUAAGAGAGUAAAGGAUUAAUAUAUUGAAUCAACGACGGUAGAAAGUAGAAAUUAAUGAGGUAAGAAGUCGAAAGAGAUAAUAAUUUUAUGGAAAAAACGAACAGACGCAAAUGAAGAGCGAAGUGAUUGGAGAGUAGCAUUUAAUAGAGGGGAAGCCGAAAAGAAAAGAUGUUGCGGGAAAGACGAAUGAACACAUUUAAUGAAUGGGAAACCCGAAAAGGUGACGAUGUUAUUGGGAACACACUUAAUGACGGGGAAACCGAAUAAUUCUUCUUUCUGUAUCAUUUAUUAUGAAGCAACGACCUGUAAAAAAUAAAAAUUAAUGAGGCAAGAAGUCAAAGAGAUAACGAAAACGAACGGGCACAAAUGAAGAGCGAAGUGAUUGGAGAGUAGCAUUUAAUGGGGGGAAGCCGAAAAGAUAAAGAUGUUAUGGGAAAGACGUGUGAACGCAAUAAGGGGGGAAGCUAAAGAGACAAUGAUGUUAUUAGGAAGGCAAACAAACACACUGUGGAGGAGCGAACGAAGCAAAACGAUUGAAAAAUAGAAAUCGGAAAAAGGUGAGACUCUUAAGGUAGGUCCCAUGAGCAAAACUUAAGGAGAGCAUGUCACGUGGGAUAAGAUUACGAAGAUUAAUAGUGUUUUAUAGAUAUCAAUGGGCCUAAACUUAUUAUGCUUAAACUUUGAAGUUAAAUGAGUUUCAUUAAAAAUGUCGCAUUCUGCUAGAGCACAUUAGUUUCCAGAUUGGACUCUGAACUUUCUACCAAAUAGUAUUAGGGCCAAUGGUUAACAAUACUGGAAUAUUCGUCUAAAUGGUGUGAUGCGAUCAAGUUAGCAUGAUUAGAUUGUUAAAAGUUCACAUGUGAAUAAUCCCAUAUCAAAUAGUUAAUAAGAGAAUAUAAAAUUAAUUUGUGAGAGGGGGCCUAGAACUCUCUAGGAAGAUCCAUGAAUGCAGGCUACAUAUAGUUUAAUUUAAUUUAAUUCAUUAAAAGUUUCACUUCAUAUAUUGAAAACAAAAAAACUACGAUUAUGUGAGGGUAAAAAAGAGUGGUAUGGGGAUCCAAUGUAGGGAAACUAAUGUAGUUAUGUCCACGGUUCCACAGGGUAAAUAAAUUACACUGUUGGUUACUAAACAUUUUCCUUAGAUCUACCCCAUUGAUCAUUUCUAAUCAUUGGAUUAAUAUUAUUAAUUAAUGGGGACCACUCGAUCUAGAAAUCAAAUUUCAUGAUUUUUUGGCAUCACUAACUGAACGAUCAAAGGGUCACAAAAUCUAUAAUUUUAAUGACCAAUAUGGUACGUUUGCUCGUUUAACGGUAUAGAAGAGUUUAAAUCAACUAAAUUUUUGUUAAAAUUUUUUUUAAACUAUUUAAAAUAAGAUCUAGACUCUAGAUCUCAAAUAUAAAAAUUAUAUCAUCACUUUUUGAAGGAUAUUCAUUUACAGCCAUUCAUUUUUCUGUUCACUUGAUCGACAAGAGAACAAUAUCUAAAAUGUGUGAAAUUUGAUUUUCAGAUAGUUUAAAUAGUUUAAAUCAUGUUUAAUGGUGCCGAUUAUCAAUUUGGAAGCUCUAUCAUCAAAAACAAAUCGGUAGUAAACCGAGCCGUUUACUACCGAUAAUAUUCUAGCAAAGCUGCAAAACUCUCUCUCUCUNUUUAAGAGGAAAAGCAAAAGGCGUCCGUUCGCUGCCUUUUGCUUUUCGCGCUUGUUUUUAGUGCCAAGUAACUUGUAAAAACACGCCAGGUGCUCCGGCUUCGUCGGAACACCUGGCACACUCUCCCUCCAGGUGUUACCUGAAGGGAGAGUAAUUAUAUAUAUAUAUAUAUAUAUAUAUAUAUAUAUAUAUAUUUUCAAAUAUGUAAAACCUAGCUUUCACCGAAAAUUUUUUUUACGUUGAACCAAACGAAUGUAAACUAUUAUUUCACCGAAAUUUUUUUUUCCAUCCACUUUUACAACAAACCAAACAUACCCUAAGGUAAAGUUCCUGAAAAUAAAUAGAUAUCACCAACUAGAAGUCGAGUUAGUAAAUAUUCUCGUCUCGAAUGUUAUGUCUCGGGUUUAAGUUCUGCUUCACCUAAAAAGUUAGAUUCAGGCACAAGGAGCUUACACAGUAUUCAGGGAAAAAAAAAAAAAAAAAAAAAAAAAAAAAAAAAAAAAAAGGACACACCAUCACUAGAGUAUUUAUGACCAAACAAUGUUUUGACAUUUUAGGAUGGACCAAUUUAGAGUUGUUUGUUCACUCUAGGCCCAUAGAAUUGGUAGCAACUUGUGUCACACAAGUUUAUUGGGCUUUAGUUAAAGCUAUCUAUCUUAGUUUUUAUAUAAGCAUUUUUAAAAAAAUAUUUAUUUGUUGAUCUUUUACCUGAAUUUAAAAACAAAUUUACUUUGACUAUCUGAUCUGAUUCAGUACAUUCAAUUUAGAAUCAAUGGUUUGAUUGCUUUAACAAAAAGAAGCACAAUAAUAUUGAAAAAAUUUACAAAAAAACAGAAGAAAAAACAAAAGAAUAAUAAAGUUUCUUAGUGAAAUCUAAAAUUUUGAACAUUAAGUAUCCAUUCAAAAAGUAAAAAAUAUGCUAUAAUUCAGAUAAGAUCUAUAUAUUUUUAUCUAAAAUUAAAUAUAAAUUGAAGAUAGUAAAAGCCUAUUUGUCCUACUUCUAAUUUUGCUAUUUGCUGCAACUUAUCAUAGUAGAGCAUUUUUUAUUACUAUAGUAGAAGAGUAAAAAGAAGCAGGAUUGUAUUUGAGGCUCAAAAGAGAAGUUUCAAUAUGGAGCUCUUAUUCUACUAUAUAUAUAUAUAUAUAGAGAGAGAGAGAGAGAGAGAGAGAGUGAGAGAGUUCGGCUUGUAUGCUUUUAGAAAUAUGGUGGUCAUCGUGCUAUCAAAUCAUUUUCAAUGUUGGAACUUCUAAAUCGAUGAUCAACUUCUUAGAUUUGAUGUAGAAUAUUAAAAGUAUCUAAAAAAUGAAUUUUGUGAUUUUUCGAUACUAUUGAAAUGGUUCAAAAUCAAUAGCUGAAAAUAAAAAUCUCAUAAAAAGUGAUGACAUGAAUUAAAAUCUUAGAUCAAAAAUAUAUUAAUCUUAUUUUAUAUAGUAUAGAAAAAUUUAUCAAAAUUUUAUAUGAUUUGAAUAUUUCUACAUUAGUAAACCUACAAAUGGCUCACUACAAUUAUUAAAAUUGUUGAUUUUAGACCCAUUUGAUCACUAGGUUUCUAAUGAUAUCGAAAAAUCAUGAAAUUUAUUUUAGAUAAUUCAAAUACUCCAGAUCAAGUUUAAUAAAGUCGAUCGUGGAUUCGAUCGUCCUCUUAUCAAAAAUGAUCCGGUAGUACAAAGGCUGCCGUACUUCUAAAAAUAUAUAAAUUAAGUUAAAUUUUAAUAAAAAAUUUUUCUUACAAUCAAGAGUAAGAUCAAUAUUUUCGAUUAGAAAUUUAAAUCUUUUAAUCACUGUUUUUUAUAAAAUUUUUAUUUUUCAUCAUUUAUUUUGAGGCUGCUCGUUUAUAAGACAAGCGAAGUCAAAAAAUUAUAAAAUUUUAUUUUUAGAUAGUUUCAAUACAGCAAAUUAUGUCUAAAAAAAUCGAUCGCCGAAUCGGUUGUUGUAAAAGAUAUAAUAAAUGGUGAAUAGCAUAUCUAAAACAGCAUUUACAUAAAAUAGUACUGUACCUUAUAAUAGAGCCAAAAAGGCACAAUUGUACCUCUUUUUAGCCCCAUAAAAUUAGGGUUUCCUAGAUUGGUCUCUUCUCAAAGAGCAAUGCUAGCUCCACAAACAUUUUGUAGUUAUAAUCUUAUAACUUUAUAAUUCAGGGAUUCAUAUUUUUCCAUUAAUCUUGUCGCUCCUCUUUUUAAUUAUUAAAAACUUAAAAACAUAAUCUAGGUUUCGUAUGGUUCGGGUAUAAGCAAGAACUAGCUAUUAUAGGGAUAAGUACAAAUAUGGGGAUAAGAAAAAUAACGGUUGGAUGAAAAUUGGGUUGUUCCCGAGGAUAAGAAAAAUAGCGUUUGGAUAAAUAAUAUGAAAUAAGAAAAAUAAUGGGUAGUUAUAUAUAGAAAAUGAAGUUGUUGGUGGGGAGAGUUAUAUCAGCUUAUUUCAAAAAUCCGAGAACUACUAUUCUCGGAUAAAAAAUUUGCGUUUAGGUAUGAAGGGGGAUAAGGGGUUAUCCCUCCCCUUAUCCCUAAUCGAAACGGUGCUCAUAAUCUUAAGAAGAUAGAAUUAUAAUCUUUGCAUAUUUCUGCAAUUCUCUCUAGAUUGUAGACGAAAUAUUUCUCCGUCUGAAAAUUUCUCCAAGAGAUGUAGGACAAAUAUAAACAAUACGGCGGAAUAAAAGGAAGAAAAUGAAGCAAAAACAAAGAGGGAAAAGGAAAAAAAAAAAAGCUUUUACUGAAAGUAUUAAUUUCUGUAAAUAAAAAUAUUCAUCAUAUAUUUAAUGUAGAAGAAGAAAGUAUUAGAUCUCUGCGUUUGGUUUUAAUUAGUGUAUUAUUUAAAAAGAAUGGUUCCUAAAUAUAAUCCUUGUACAUCAUCAUUCUACACAACAUAAUAGUUUUCCACACUGUAAUUAUAUAGAGAAUUAAAGAUCCAUAUAUUUAACACCAAAUAACAAUACGCUAGCAAAUAAAAAUUUAAUGAAUUUUUCACAUAAAAAUUUAAAAAUUUAAUGAAUUUAAUCUUUUAUCAUAUAGUUAAUGAAUUUUUUCAAAUAAAAAUUUGUAACAAACCUACUCAAACCACUUGUGUAUAAGUUCUUAAUGGGCCAAAAAAUUUUAAACCCAAGAUAAUCAAGCCUAAUAUGCUAGCAAGUCAUUAUAUAAUGAUCCGACCUUGUAGUAAUAAUAAUCCGUUCGGUCCAAAUCACCGGAUCAAAAUGCUUAAAAUCAGUUAUUAUACAGACUGUUCAAAUCCGUACCACAAACAUAUAGAUCAUAAUUAUUUGACGAUACAAGAUUUUAGAAGUGGCUCAUACGGGUUAAAGAGAUGGGUCCCACCAAAUCUGUAACUGAAUUUAAGCAUUUUGUACUGAUGGUUUGAAUCCAACAAAUUAUUAUUAUUACUAGCGGGUCGAAUCGUUAUAAUAUACCGAAUCAGCUCCUCAUUAUUUUCUCUCAAAAAAAAAAAAAAUCAUGUUCAAUUGGAAUAUGUCAAGAGUAAUUGCAAAUAAAGCUGAAAAAUGCUCUCCGUACCAAUAAUAAGCAAGGAGAGUUUGAAAACGCUUGUAUCAAUUGAUUUUGAUAUUUGAUAGUGUAGCCUUAAAUAUUUGUACGUGGCGCAUAUACGUAGUAAUUACUUGCGUAAUUACUUGCAAGUAAGUUCAAUUUGAUUUUUACAUCAAAAUCUACCAAUCCGUUACACUUGAUUUACAAUAUUAAAAAUAUCUUAAAAAUAAAUUUUAUAAUUUUUUUUUUAUAUUAUUUACUUUGUGAUUGAAAUUGCUUAAAAUAAAUGAUUAAAAAUAAAAAUAUCACAAAAAAAAAAAUAAUAUAGCACUAAAAUUUUAGAUUAAAAAUAUUGAUUCUGUUUUAUAUAGUAUGAAAAAAAAAAAUUAUCAAAAUUUAUUUAAAAUUUUUUACAUCAUUAAACAUGCAAAUGGCUCGUUAUAACCAUUAAAAUUAUUAAUUUGGGUCCCUUAAUCACUAGAUAAAUGAUAUCUAAAAAUUACCAAAUUUAACCGACCGUCCCUAGAGCAAGUGGCAAAAGGUUUGGUGGUUGGUACCCGAGACCCAAGUUCGAAUCCUAGUUGAUUUAUAUUUCCAGCUAAGUUUAUUUCUAAAUAAAAUAAACGAAGCGGGUAGCGUGCUACCUAUCUCUCAAAAAAAAAAAAAAAAACCAAAUUUAUACUUUAAGUACUUCAAAUAUUUUAGAUCAGGUCUAAUGGAACCGAUUAUUUUUUUCUUGAGAGAGAGAAAAGUUGCAUGCUACCGUUUAUUUUUUUUAGAAAUAAACUUAACUGAAAAUGUGAAUCAAUUAGGAUUCAAACUCGAGAUCUCGGAUACCAACCACUAAGGUCUAAUGGAACCAAUUGUCAAUUUGAAAAUCCCAAUAUCGAAAACUACUUAGGCUUAAUUUGGUAUUGAGGUAGAUCUAACAGGAUAUACUUCUGCGUUCUCUGAUGGGACCGCAGAGAAUAUAUUGUAACCAACUAAUCGCAAUAUGCGGAACACAAUAUUAUGUACAAAAACAAAUAAAAUAUUUUUCUAUCAUUUCUCACCGCACAUAACACAAUUUUUAGACAAUUCCAAACGAAAUCUUAAUAACACGAAAGCCACGGUACUUCUAAAAGUACACAAAUUUGACUAAAGCAACAUUUAUGUAAAAUAGUGCUAUAUCCUAUAAUAGAGCUAUAAAGGCCCAAUUGUGCCUUUUUUAAACCCCAUAAAAUUAGAUUUCCCUAAAUUGCACUCUUUUAAUAAAAUCAAUCACCGAUUUGAAAAUUUCAACGAAAACUACUUGAUAAUACGAAAACCAUCUUACUUCUAAAAAUAUAUAAACCUAACAAAAAUAAUAUUUAUCUAAAAUAGUACUGUACCCUAUAAUAGAGCCAUAAAGGCAUGGCCCCAUAAAAUUAGGUUCCUCUAGAUUGGUUUUUUCUCAAAAAGCAAUGAGAGCUCCACAAUCAUUUUUUUAGUUAUAAUUUUACAACUCUAUCAUUUAAGUGUCCAUAUUUCUCUUCUAAUUUUAUCACUUUUUUUUAAUUACUAAAAAAAAUUAUAACUUUUGGAUUAAAAAUUAUAUUCAUAUAAUUCUCUUAAAAUUAGGUUGUCGACUUAGCUUUUUUCCUUCUAAAAAAUUUCUCAGAGAGAUGCAGAACAAAUAUAAACAACACGGAGGAACAAAAGAAGAAAAUAAAAUAAAAACAAGAUCUUUGAGUUUGGUUAAUACAUAGUAUACUAAUCCUUUUCGUACUUUAUUCUGUGUCUCAAUUAUCUCCUGCAUAAAAAUUACACUAGGAUAAAUUAGAUGCUUGUUUUGUUUGUGACGAAAUAUUAAUACUGUACUUUGCCAAGUUAGCAACUAUAUUCAUAAUAUUUUAUGAUUUUUUUCGGAUGAAAAAUUGUAAUAAACCUACAUAAUUAACCCACUUGUGCAAAUUAGCUUAAGGGGCCCAAAAAAAAAAUUAAACCCAAGAGAAUCAUCCUAAUUAAUAUACCCGAUCAGCUUCUCAUCAUAUCUCAAAAAAAAAAAAAACAUAAAUCAAACUCAUAUCUCAAAAAAAAAAAAAAAAUCAUUUCUAAUUGGAGUAUGUCACAAGUAAUUGUAAAUAAAUAAAGCUUGUGCCUAUUGAUUUUGACAUUUGAUGAUGUAGCCUUAUAUAUUUGUACCUGGUACAUUUAAUUAAGAAGUAAUUACUUGCAAGUAAGUUCAAUAUAUUUGACUCUUAGAAAAAGUAGUUGAGGAACAAAAAAGUUAAAUUUAAGAAAAAGAAAAAAAGAGGCAUCACUAAAAGGGUAUUUGGUUACUGGAAACGUAUAAAAAUUUAUUUUGGAUAAAUUUCAUGUUUGGUCCUCAGGUGACACUUUGGACCUUAAAUUCUAACUUAUCAUAAUUUUUGCUUUGAACGUUCAAAAUUACUAUAAUUAAGUUUCACAAUCUAAUUUAGUUAUCUGAAUAUUAAUAAAUUAUUAAUAUAAAUAAAAUGUAAAAAUAUUUUGAUUGAUGAUGUAGCGAUAAUUAAAUUAUUCACUAUAAUAGAAUUAGAUUAUAGGGACACAGUUUUGAGACACUUUUAUAUAAGUGUCCUAUUUAUGCCAAAAAAAUUUUAAAAAAAUCUAUUAAGACCUAAAUAUAAAGUUUAAUCCAAUCAAAAAUAAAAAAUUUCUCUACUCAACCAACCACACAAAGUCUACUCAGCCUAAUUAUAAAUAAAAAAAAAAGAAAAAAAAUUGAUCACCCUCUCCCGUUCUCCUCCUCCGCCACCGCCUUCGCCGACGAAAUAGGGUUCCGAGGAGUACUGGAGUUCAACUACGAGGAUCUCACAAGAACCGUAGAGGGCUGCGAUCGCUACAUAUCCUUCUGCCACAGGUCGCUCGAAGAGUGGGUGCUAAAUAUUAAGACGGCCCUACCUAUAGCGACCCCACAUAUAGCAAUACUUUUCAAAAGUGUCGGUAAUUUAGCUAGCAGUAUUUUUUUUGACUUAUACUGACAUUUAAAAUUGUCGCUAUACCGUUUUUGUUGUAGUGAUUGCAUCACUUUUAUAUCAACAAUGUGUCACUAUUUAUUUAGUUAACUAAAUUAGGGUGUGAGAACUUCAUUAUGACAAUUUUAAAAGUUACAACAAAAAAUUACCAACAAAUAAAAGUUCGAGGACUAAAGUAUCAACCGCAUCAUAAUUUGAGGACCAAAGUUGCAAUUUACCCAAACUAUUGUGUUUUACAAAAAAUUAAACUCUUUUUCACAAGUUUUAUUCUUUGCAUAAAAAAUUAAGAAAAUAAAAAUAUUAUAAAAAUAUUUUUAAAAAAACAUUAAUCAGGUGAAAAAUAUACUUUUUUCAAUCAAAAAGUUUAUUGUGGGGUUUUUGUUUCUAGAAAAUUAACCAACAUCCCCUCAAAUAGAAAAGAAUAGUAAAUGAGUUUGGUGAGAAUUACCCACUUUACCAACUAACUAAUCCCUUUGAUUAAUUACCUAACUAUAUCUAACCAAUUUUCAUAGAAAAAAUAUAUAGGAGGAAUUGUGAGAUUAGCCAAUUUAUAGAAAAAAAAUAUUGUAGCCAAAUAGAAAUGACAAGCUAGAGAAAAGAAAAAGGAGCUCUACCAUUUAAUGCACACACAAAAUUAAUAAAACCAAAUAUAAGACAAAGCAAACUUAGCAAAUUAAGUUAAUUACCAAACCCAUUGAAUAUUUUGUUUGGUGGCUCCAUUCCACAACAAUCACUAGUUAACUAGUCUAUUAAUUGUUACUCAGAAAGUGUUACAUAUGAGAUCUUAGAGCCUACACACAAGGUGCAUAAAAAUUAUAAAGUAAAAUCUAUAAAUAAUUUAUCUGAGCUGUAGACCACUUUGAUUUGGUUAUUCAACUUUUAUGUCUAAUUUUUUAAUAUGUUUGAUUUGAGUCAGUUGGUGACACUUUAAUUUCAAAGUUUCAGCAUAUCGUUUAUCGUUUAUCUUUACAGAUUUAUUUAGUAUAUUUCACACGUAACUAUAAAUUUAUUAAAAUAAGUAAUUAGUUUAAAUUUUCAAGUCAAAGUGCUAUUGAUAAAUUCAAAUCAAACAAAUUAAAAAAUUGAGUAGUAAAAUUAAAAUUUUAAGAGAUUAGACAACCAAAUAAAAAUGGUCCGUAGUUUGGAUAAACUUUGUAUUUUUUUUAACCAAAUUAUAAUUAUAUAAUAAAAGCAACCGCGUUCACUAUUAAGGUGAUAAAAAUUAAUUGAGACCUAUACAAUGACUCAUCAACUUAAUCUUAUCUUUACACUAAAUAUCUGAGCAUAGUUGUUGAAACCAACAGAAUAUUCCAACUUAUAUGUACAUAAAAUCCUAAUCUAGCUACAGGAAUAGAAAUUACAAGAAUUUUUUUCAAAAAAACCCUAUUUUUUACAUAGCACCAAAUUAGAGCAUAACAUAUAAAUAAAUAGAAUUGGGCUGUAAUACUAUUAAUAGUAUUUGAACUCUUUCGCUAUUGAGUUUUUAACUUUUUGAUGAACUCUUUACCAGAGCACUAAUACUAUAGUAUCGUUUUCGAUCUUAGCUAGGAUGUUCAAAUCAACGAUCUACACAGUUAAAUAUGAUUUAGGGUAUAUGAAGUUCUUAGGAAUAAAAUUUUAAAAUUUUUUGACAUCGUUUACUUAGUAAGUAAUUCAUGUCAAAAUGAACGGUAGAAAUUGAACAAUUUUUAAAAUUUGAGCAUAGUACUUUUGAAUUCACAAUCAAGGAUGUUGACAUUAAUCUAGAUAGUUUAAAGUAUUUUCUAUCAAAGUUUGGAUAAAUUUAGAUUUUUCUAGACCGUUAAACUACAAAUUCGCCGUAGUAGCCAUUGAAAUUUGACAAUUUUGAAACGUUUGAUCAUAAAAUAAACUAUAUCAAAAAGAUAUUAAAUUUUAUUUCUAAAAACUAUAAAUAUAUUAAUCAGUUUUAACGGUAUGGAUCGUUGAUUUAAACAUUUUAAGAUUGAAACAAUACUCCAGUAAAGAUAGUAUAGGAGUCUAUAUACAUAUAUAUAGGGUUAAAUGCUUUCAUGUUCCUGUAAAUAUAGUGAAUUGUAAAUAUGCCUCUACCAAAUUCAAAUACUCUAGAUCAUAUUUAACGGAGUGGAUCGUCGAUUCGGAAGCUCCAUCAUCAAAAAUAACUUAUGAGUACGAAGGGCCCAAUACUCAUAAUAGUAUAGUAGCCUUACUCUAUAUAUAUAUAUAUAUAUAUAUAUAUAUAUAUAUAUAUAUAUAGAGUAAAUGUACACAAGUGUACAUGUGUGUAUAUAUAUAUAGUUGAUUCAUCUUUCCGUUGUGUACGUAUUUUCUAACCAAGAAAAUGCACAAAUUAUGCUAAAAAUUUACCACAAGUUAGAUGCCAUGAUUUACAGAGCAAGUACUAUAAAAAUCCAAAUUGUGAGCUCUUGUUUGUAUUUAGAUAAUUCUUUUUAUAGUGUCAUCUACUAGAAUCUAGAUCUCUUAAUUAAAAUCUUAUGAAACGUAAGAAAAAGUUGGUAGCUGUGACCUACCAAAAAUAGUUACUUUCUAAAAUGGAAUUUGAUAUAUAUUGGUUGGACACUUAGGUGGGUAAUUAACGCACACCACAACUUAAUUAGUACGGCUUGAAAUUUUCUAAUGGCGAAAACAUAUGGAGAUCCCCCUCACCUACAAGUCACGUUGAAAUGUACCCCCCAACUUCUUUUUAUGUAAUUAUUGAGUUUUUUUUUUCACCCUUAUUGAAUAAUUCUGUAAUUUUAGCGAAUUAAAUCAAAGAUUUUAUCAAAUUCAUCUGCGAUUCCAUCAGAUUUAAUAACUUUAAUCACUUAUUAACAUUCAAAGGCUGAUAAAACUAUAAAAUUAAAUAGACUUCUUAGUUAAUUAAGUAAAACAAUUAACUCAAGUUAUUUUAAAAAAAGAGUAAAAAUUAAACAAAAAAAUAUUAGUACUAUUAUUACUUAUUAGCUUUGAACAAGCUCGUAGAAACAACCCUAAUAAGAAACCUCACAUAUUUAUUUCUCAAGAAGCAAAAAAUCUAGACCCCUUAGAUUAGUCAGAAGCUAAAUCAUUCUUCUUUUUUUUUGAGAGAAAUUAAUCAGCUUAACUGAAAAUUAAUAUUAAACAACUAAAUUAUAAACUUAAUUGGGAUAUCAAGGACGAGCAAUAAAAGCUCAUAUGUCAGCAAUAAUCGUAACCAACUAUGUUACGUUAGUAGUAGUAGUAGUAGUUGUUGUUGCUGUUGUUGUUGAAAAAUAUAAAUCAUUAAUUGAUCAACAAAUGAAAAGUUAUUAUUGUACACUACAAAAAAAACGGUAUAUAAAAAUACUUUUAAAUAUUGGUACAGGUUAAAAAAAAUAUUGCUGUCUAAAUUACCGAUAUUUUUUAAAAGUGUUACUAUAUGAGGGGUCGUCUUGAUAUUUGGUAUCCACUCCUCCAGCGACACGUGGUGAUCAUAACUUUUUACGGUUCCUAUAAGAUUCUCGCGGCCGAACUUCAGCUACUGGAACCCUACCUCGUCUGCUGCGGUAGCGGAGGAGGAGAAGGGGAGAUAGAUAGAUGGUGAUCAUUUUUUUUCCCCUUUUCUAUUUGUAAUCGGCCGAAUGGGCUAGAUGGGGUUGGUUGAGUUGAGAAACUUUUUAUUUUUGAUUAAAUUGGACUUUAUAUUUAGGGCUUAGUAAAUUUUUUUUAAAAAAAGUUUUGAUUAAAUAGAAUACUUUUGUGAAAGUAUUUCAAAAAUGUGCUCCUAUAAUCUAAUUUUGUUAUAUUAGUAGCAUAAGGUGUGUAGUACACUUUCACCUUUAGUAAUUGACCAUAUAUUUGGCUAUAAAUGGGGAAUAUGUCAUGCAUGUAGAGCUUGGUCAUUUCAAAAUCUUUCUAAGCUUUGCUACAACACUUAACCAUGGCUCCAACCACCCUCUCUCUCCUCCUCCUCCUCCUCCUCCUCGUGUCAUCAUCCAUGGCCAUGCAAUAUGACGGGGACGGCGCCCGUUGCGCACCGACGCCACCCCACAUUCCAGUGGCGGUGUUCCCUUACGACAUCGAUCAGUUGCAGUUCCCGCUGAACCUCGAGUUCACGGAGAGCGAGUUUUUCCUGCACGGAUCGCUGGGGAUCGGCCUCGACCAGGUCGCGCCUCAGCUGGCCCUGGGGGGGCCGCCUCCGAUCGGCGCCCAGAAGGCGAGCCUCGACGACACCACUCGCCGGAUCAUUGAGGAGUUUGGUUUCCAAGAAGUUGGUCACGUAAGGUCUACAUCUCUCUCUCUCUCUCUCUCUCUCUCUCUCUCUAAUUUGCACGCAAAACAUGCAUGCACAAGAACUUCUCUCUCUCUCAUACUUGCGUGCAAACCAUGCAUAUGCACACUAGCUAAGAAGAAUUUGUGUACACGUGAUCAUUCUAUGUUCAAUUUUCUUUCACAUUACCAACCGUAUCUAGAGCAAAUAUUGGCUAAAUAUUGUCUAAGCAUUUGAUGGUUGAUAUUCGAAGUUCUAAGUUCGUAAUUUAAUUAUUUUAUAUUUCUAAAUAGCUAAGCUCAAUUUUGCAAAAUAAAUGAAGCAGAUAGCAAACUACAUACAUUUCUCUUUUUUUUCUUUUUUCUUUCGGAGUUUAUGUGAGCUCAGUUUUGAUAAAAGAUGCACUAAUUAAUAAUAGCUAAGGGAAUUGACAAUUCGAAGUAGUUAUAAGAUUUCAACCUUCUAUAUAUAUAUAUAUAUAAAAGUUGAGCUAAUGGCAGAAAAUUUAUAAGUACCAAGUAUUUAGUGCUUUUAUAAGCACUAUAACAGAACUCUCUCUCUCUCUCUCUCUCUCUCUCUCUCUCUCUAUAUAUAUAUAUAUAUAUAUAUAUAUAUAUAUAUAUAUAUAUAUAUAGAAGGUUCGAAAUUUAGAUCCUCGGAAUAAUUUACGUACCUGUUUUGAACCCGAAGGAUACGCAGUCUCAGUUGAAACCUACGUACGAGUCCUAAAUUCCACACCCAACAUUUUAGUAUUGGAUUCGUGACUCGGACCCGCACCCCCAAAUUCCUCCACGCCUUUUGUGACAGCAACUCUCUCUCAUUCCCUGUAGUUUUCAAAGUUGCUCGUCAUUUCAUGCACAGCGCAACAAAAGCAAUAUUUCUCCGCGAAGCACUUUUUCCAGUUGCCCCGGUGCAUGCGCAGUAGAAACUAAUUAAUGGGUCUCAUUCACUACAACAAAAACGGUCUAUAGCGACACUUUUAAAUAUAGGUAUAUGUCAAAAAAGUGCUGCUAGCUAAAAUUACCGACACUUUUAAAAAGUGUUGCUAUAUGUGGGGUCGCUAGGUAUAUAGUGACAGUUAAAGAGUGUCGCUAUAACCUAAAAGAGUGCUGCUAAUUUACCAACACUUAUUUAAGCAUUUAGCAACCUCCGAAACUCUAUCUCGUUGGCUGCGAUGGCGGAGGAGGACGACAGGAAAGGCUUUUCGUCUAGAAUUUCAGUGGAUUGAGUGAAGAGAGAAGAAAAGAUGGUAAUUGAUUUUUCUUUUUUUUUUCUAUUCUGUUCGUAAUCAGGCCAAAUGGAUUGGGUGUGGUGGGUUGAGUAGAGUAAUCUUUUAUUUUUGGUUGGAUUGGNAGAAAUUGUAGGGUUAGGAUGAUAUUAGUCUCUUAGGGUUGAGUGGUCCCUUAAGGUUGAGUGGUCGCCACUGGGUUAUAAUAUUUAAUCCAACUGUUAGAAAUUAUGAAAGAAGUUGAUCCAAAGGCUAAAAACUUGAUAGUAAAAAGAGUAUUUUGCUAUCAAUAGUAUUCCAGCCCAAUUCUAUAUAUAUAUAUAUAUAUAUAUAUAUAUAUAUGCUAUAGUUGAAACUCUGCUUUUUGAAAUUUGUACAAGUCCUUUAAAAUUUUAAUAUUAAAAUAAAUGAUAGAGCUAGUACGAAAAGGUUAGUGGUCAAUCCAGAUUAUCUUAUUCUAAAACAAAAGAAAAAAAAACAUACACCAAAGCAUAGGAGAGACUCAUUAGUUCUACAACACACAUGAAAAAAAAAGACAAAAAAACCAACCUGUAUACAUAAACUAGUGGAGACCCGCGCUUCGCUGCGGAAGAUUUACGUAUUUUUUAAAAUAUUUUGAUCAAACUAAUAUAUUUUUAUACUUACGUUGUUAACAUUUAUUUUUAAAAAUUUGAGCUUAUUUUUUUAAUUUUUAAAUUUAAUCUUAAUUUUUUAACUUUAAAAAAUUAAAGAGAGAAAAAGAAAAAAAAUUUUAUUUAAAUAGAGGAAAAAAAAUAAUUUGAAAAGUGAAGAGAGCAUAAAAAGGGAAAAAAAACAAAAAGAGCAGUGUCCCCCACGCCGCGCUGCGCCCCGCACUCCAGCGUGUCCGCGCCACACCGCGGGCCGCCCCACGCUCCUGUAAUUUUUUUAUUCCAUAAAUUAAGAGAAAAUAAUAAAAGAAAGAAAAAAAAAUAAAAAAAGAUUAAUUUUACAUUAAAAAAAUGAAUUAUUGGCUAAAACUUGGGGAGAGAGAGGAGAGAUAUAGAGAUGGGUUGAGAGAGAGAAAGAGAGGUAUUUUAAAGUUGUUUUAGAGAGAGAUUGGGGAAGAUAUUGAGAGAGAGAAUCUAUUUUAGAGAGAGAGAGAUUUGGGGAGAUAUUGAGAGAGAGAGGAUUUGUUUUAGAGAGAGAUUGGGGGAGAUAGAGAGAGAGAGGAUCUGUUUUAGAGAGAGAUUGGGAGAGAUAUUGAGAGAGAGAGGAGCAGAGAUAGAGAGGGGGCCAGUCAAUUUAGGAGAGAGAAACGCUGGGCGAGAGAGAGAGGGUUAAAUAGUGUAAGAUAAUAUAAAAAUAAUUUAUAAUAAAAAUUUGGGUAAAUUAUAUUGUUAUCUCUGAGCUUUUGACGAAUUUUAUUUAACCAUCAGACUCCUAAAAUAGACAUUUAACAUUCUUAACUUUAAUAUUUUAUUCGUUUUAACUCUAAUAUUUAAUUCGUUUUAGUCCUUCUGUCAGUUUUCGGUUAACGGAGCUUGACGGAAAAUCGACGGAAGGGAUAAUAUGAACGAAAUAUUAGAGUUCAGGGGGUUAGAUGUCCAUUUUAAAAGUUUAAGAAGCAAAAUGAAAUUUCGCCAAAAAUUCAAGAGGUAACAAUACAAUCUACACUCUAUA
rnacentral:lncRNA from 1 species